AAUGGGCACAGUAGGACAAAGAUGGUAGGCACGCUGGUGUGCUUAUGCAUGCCCCCUACAGACCACUUAGGAAUGGGGUGAGGUCCACAGUAGUCAGUUUAAGGUUAAAGUUUUGGGGGUUUGAGGAUGUAACAACAAAGUCAGGUAGUGCAUUCCAGUCCGUUAAGCUUGUACUUACUGUUUGGGUUCUUUUUUCCUAUAUGUAAUACUGAGCAUUUGCUGGUUGAGAUUUGGAGUUGCCAAGUUUUAGACCAUUCAGAUACAAAGUCAAGGUGUUUUUGAAGGGUUGUUGUAUUGUUGGUGGUGUUAAAUAGUUUGAUGUCGUCAGCAAAAAGAACACAAUCACUUGUAAUAUGGUCACAGAGAUCAUUAAUGUAUAAUAUGAAGACUGUUGGUCCAAGAACGCUGCCUUGGGGAAUGCCACUUUUGACAGGAACAGGAUUUGCCAGCAUUGCCAAUUUUGACCACUUGUUGUCUGUUUUUACAGGAAAGCUGUUAUCCAAUUGUGGAGGGGUCCUGAAAUGCUGUAAGAUUUUAGUUUUAGGAGAAGUUUAUCAUAUAGAACAGAGUCAAAACCUUUACAGAAGUCUAUGUAGAUCACAUCUAUUGCUUUGCCCUGAUCAAGAAUUACAGGAAUGCAAUUUUCGUGGAGGAGUGGUGAGGAAGUGCUUUAUAUGACUGAGAAUAAUGUUGAAUAUUAUUUCAUACUCCCCCACCCACCCACCCCCAUGGAUCUAACUAUUUAAUACUUUCACCUGGAAAUCACCGUUUUUCAAGAGGGAAAAGGCUAAUUGAUGGGAUUUUACAAUGAAGGUGUCACUGUUGUGGAAUCUUUGCUCAAAAGAAAUGUAGCCAGGGUUUAAUUUUAUGCUUAGCAGUAGCUGAAAAUUGUGAUGACAAAUGUUAUUUUUCUAAGUUUAACUGCGUAAUUGGCUACUUCUGUUUUCACUUUUUUAAGAAGUUUUCCUUUAACCUGUACUUCACUGUACUGCAAGUUUAAUAAUUUGGAAAAAAAUUAUUAAAAGCAAAAUUAAACAUUUUAAAUGCAGACAUUCAUUACUGCUUAUAAUAAAAGGUGUGUUGGGUAUGUUUGCCAGCUUGAGUUAUUUCUAAAAUAAUAAAGGCGAGAUACAAAUAAAUAAUAAAUUCUAGCACGUGCUUAAAGUUUUUUAUGUGUUUGUUCAUUUUAUCAUUUAUUUAACAUUUAAACUUGGCAUCAAGACUUUUUCAACAUAUAACAGAUGCAUCUACAAUUGCUAGCCUGGAUGGGUGGAGUCAGUCCAUUGCCUGAAGCAAUCACUGUGAAGUUGCUUUCAGCAGUGGAGAUCAAUCAUGUAGAGAAGCUGGGCAGAAAUGAGGCUACAGCUGCAGCUGAUACCUGGUAGGCCUCAUAGCUGAAUAGUGGCUUCCUUUCUCUCCCCAUCCCCUGUAAAUCUGGCAUGUUCUAAUAAAUUACAGGUGAUUGUUUUUCUCUAUCAUGUUUAGCACUGUUUCCUAACCUUGACAAUUUUAAGAUAUGUGGACUUCAACUCCCAGAAAUCUCCAGCUGACAUAGGAGUCGAUGUCUAUAAAUAUUAAAAUAGCUAAGGUUAAGAAACACUGGUGUAUUGGAAGCCAUAUUUAAAUUAUAGUAUUGGGCAAAAUUAUCUUGGAUAAUUUUGGAUAAUUGGAUAAUAUAGCUAGUUGGAUAAUGGGUACAAGAUAAUAUAGAUUCUGACCUGUCUCCAAUCUUCCCUUUUUGGGGAAGGUUGUUGAGAAGGUGGUCACAUA